rnacentral:rRNA from 1 species
UACGUAGGGGGCAAGCGUUGUCCGGAUUUAUUGGGCGUAAAGAGCUCGUAGGCGGCUUGGCAAGUCGGGUGUGAAAACUCCAGGCUCAACCUGGAGAUGCCACUCGAGACUGCUAUGGCUAGAGUCCGGUAGGGGACCACGGAAUUCCUGGUGUAGCGGUGAAAUGCGCAGAUAUCAGGAGGAACACCGGUGGCGAAGGCGGUUCUCUGGGCAUGACCUGACGCUGAGGAGCGAAAGUGUGGGGAGCGAACAGG